rnacentral:rRNA from 1 species
GACGAACGCUGGCGGCGUGCCUAAUACAUGCAAGUAGAACGCUGAAGAGAGGAGCUUGCUCUUCUUGGAUGAGUUGCGAACGGGUGAGUAACGCGUAGGUAACCUGCCUUGUAGCGGGGGAUAACUAUUGGAAACGAUAGCUAAUACCGCAUAACAAUGGAUGACACAUGUCAUUUAUUUGAAAGGGGCAAUUGCUCCACUACAAGAUGGACCUGCGUUGUAUUAGCUAGUAGGUGAGGUAAUGGCUCACCUAGGCGACGAUACAUAGCCGACCUGAGAGGGUGAUCGGCCACACUGGGACUGAGACACGGCCCAGACUCCUACAGGAGGCAGCAGUAGGGAAUCUUCGGCAAUGGGGGCAACCCUGACCGAGCAACGCCGCGUGAGUGAAGAAGGUUUUCGGAUCGUAAAGCUCUGUUGUAAGUCAAGAACGGGUGUGAGAGUGGAAAGUUCACACUGUGACGGUAGCUUACCAGAAAGGGACGGCUAACUACGUG